rnacentral:rRNA from 1 species
AAACCGUUGAAAGGGAAGCGAAUGGAGUUAGCAAUUCGCCCUACCAGAUUCAGUUGUCCGCGCUUCGCGACGAGCACGCUCUCGAUCCGCAUGGACGAGACGUGCCCGGAAGCGACGUGUGAACCGCGCACUUCUGGCGGGCGAGCGUGUCAGCGUGGGUUGCCUACGAGCGAGAAGGUCGCGUGCAAGGUAGACGCACCCGCUUGGGCGCGUUGUUAAGACUCGCGUAUGCAUAGCUCGACGGCGACCGUGGCUUGUAUUCUCGACGACGCGUGCCUGGCUGGCGACUCGUGUGAUCGGUUCGACAUGACGACCGUGGCGGACGGCACGCCUGUGCGCUCGAACUGCUGCCGGUCGCUCACACGAUGCUCGCACACUACUCGUCGAAGAUGCUGACGACCAUACGGCUCCAUCCGACCCGUCUUGAAACACGGACCAAGGAGUCUAACAUGUGCGCGAGUCUCCGGGUGAUCGAUCAGGUAAAGCGAAUGAUUAGAGGUCUUA